rnacentral:tRNA from 1 species
UGCCCAAUGCGGGAAUCGAACCCGGGUCGUAGUGGUCGAAAACCAAUGGUUUAGACCAUCCUUCCACCAAGCCCCUAAUCUAUCUAAGC